UCAUCUGAUUCUGAACAGUGUUGCCAAAGCGCGGAGAAACGACCAAAAGUGCGGAGAAGAUUCGAGGGGAGUCAUUAAAUGCAGAGCUGAGGUCUGCACUCCUCACGUAUGCGGCGCUGUCCUUCCAAGGUGCUCAUCCAACAUAAUGAGGAUCCUUCAUAUAAGCCUCGUGGCUCUGCUUUCCCUGGUCCUACUGGGAGAAGAAGUUGCUGGAGGUGCAAUCGAAGGUAUAUAUGCUGGUUUCUCGACAUACUCCCACCCCUGCAUACGCCCUUGUCAGGAAAGGAUCGGUGGUGAUUGCGUGGCAAAUACAACAUGUUGUGGGGAGAACUAUCAAAACUGGGAGUACUAUGCUUGCUUGAGAAACAGGGAACAGGAUCGGGAUAAGUUGAUCCACCGGGGCCACGAGUCACCAAAGAUUAUAGAAGGCGAUUUUAUCAUCCAGUAUUGGAGAUAAAAUCCAAGUCCUUUUCAUCUUGUGUCUUAUUGUUUCGAUUCAUUCAACAAAACAGAAACAAACAACUUCUCGACUUCCUUUCAGUAUCAGUUUUAUUAGUUUCAAAAUCUUCUUUUCAU